rnacentral:lncRNA from 1 species
AUGGUGAUGUGUAAUAACACUUAAGCUCUAGAAUUACGCUGAGACCUUGAAAAAGUUUUAUCUUGAAGAAUGUUCCCUGUUUUCAUCUCUGGGAACCUUAGGAAAAACAAUUAAACAGCUUAAUUAGAAGUAAAUAUUUUCCACUAUAGUAUAGAAAGAGCUGAAUUAUUUACCACGUUGGGAAACAUCUCUACUAAUGAAUUCCCAUGAAUAUCUGCAGUUAUGGAGUUGUUAGAGCCAUAUAACAGUAUGGGUAUUUAGCUUCUGUGUUGAGUAUCUUUAAACUGACAUCAGUUCAGACUGACCCAUUAAUUUCUGUGCUUUAGGAA